rnacentral:rRNA from 1 species
AGUGAACGCUGGCGGUAGGCCUAACACAUGCAAGUCGAACGGCAGCACAGUAAGAGCUUGCUCUUACGGGUGGCGAGUGGCGGACGGGUGAGGAAUACAUCGGAAUCUACUUUUUCGUGGGGGAUAACGUAGGGAAACUUACGCUAAUACCGCAUACGACCUACGGGUGAAAGCAGGGGAUCUUCGGACCUUGCGCGAUUGAAUGAGCCGAUGUCGGAUUAGCUAGUUGGCGGGGUAAAGGCCCACCAAGGCGACGAUCCGUAGCUGGUCUGAGAGGAUGAUCAGCCAAACUUGAACUGAGACACGGUCCCGACUCCUACGGGAGGCAGCAGUGGGGAAUAUUGGACAAUGGGCGCAAGCCUGAUCCAGCCAUACCGCGUGGGUGAAGAAGGCCUUCGGGUUGUAAAGCCCUUUUGUUGGGAAAGAAAAGCAGCAGGUUAAUACCCCGCUGUUCUGACGGUACCCAAAGAAUAAGCACCGGCUAACUUCGUG